GGAGCUUACCAGACUAGCAAUACAGAAUGCCUGUCACUCGGCACGCUGUAAAGCGAACCUUUAAAUGAGUGUCUAUGAACGUAGAGAUUUAAGUGGCAAUAUGUUUGGACGCGGGUUCGACUCCCGCCGUCUCCAUUU
rnacentral:tmRNA from 1 species